UUAGGGCACGACACCGGAGAGGGAGCCUGAGAAACGGCUACCACAUCCAAGGAAGGCAGCAGGCGCGCAAAUUACCCAAUCCCGACACGGGGAGGUAGUGACAAUAAAUAACAAUACAGGGUUCUUUUGGAUCUUGUAAUUGGAAUGAGUACAAUUUAAAUCUCUUAACGAGGAACAAUUGGAGGGCAAGUCUGGUGCCAGCAGCCGCGGUAAUUCCAGCUCCAAUAGCGUAUAUUAAAGUUGUUGCAGUUAAAAAGCUCGUAGUUGAAUUUCGGGAUCAAUAUUUCGGUCAUGCCGUUGGUAUGCACUGUUAUCAUUGAUUUCUCACCUUCUAAAGAACCGUAAUGCCAUUAAUUUGGUGUUACGGGGAAUUAGGACUGUUACCUUGAAAAAAUUAGAGUGUUUAAAGCAGGCUCACGCUUGAAUACAUUAGCAUGGAAUAAUGAAAUAGGACAUCCGAUUCUAUUUUGUUGGUUUCUAGGAUCGAUGUAAUGAUUAAUAGGGAUAGUUGGGGGCAUUAGUAUUCAAUUGUCAGAGGUGAAAUUCUUGGAUUUAUUGAAGACUAACUACUGCGAAAGCAUUUGCCAAGGAUGUUUUCAUUAAUCAAGAACGAAAGUUAGGGGAUCGAAGACGAUCAGAUACCGUCGUAGUCUUAACCAUAAACUAUGCCGACUAGGGAUCGGAUGAUGUUAAUUUUUUAAUGACUCAUUCGNGCCUUACG
rnacentral:rRNA from 1 species